rnacentral:rRNA from 1 species
GAGAGCGAGAUGACGUCACUCAGCAUGCCUAUGCCAGGUACACAGUGUACAUGCCAGUACAGAGUAGCAUAUCGCAGAUGAGCAAUCUCAAGUGGCCCAGUUCGGAUGUAGUCUGCAACUCGACUACAUGAAGUCGGAAUUGCUAGUAAUGGCGUGUCAGCUAUAACGCCGUGAAUACGUUCCCGGGCCUUGUACACACCGCCCGUCACAUCAUGGGAGUUGGUUUUGCCUUAAGUCGUUGACUCAACCUGCAAAGGAGAGAGGCGCCCAAGGUGAGGCUGAUGACUGGGAUGAAGUCGUAACAAGGUAGCCCUACCGGAAGGUGGGGCUGGAUCACCUCCUUUU